rnacentral:rRNA from 1 species
ACAUACAAGUCGAGGGGAAACGGCAUUUAGUGCUUGCACCGAAUGGACGUCGACCGGCGCACGGGUGAGUAACGCGUAUCCAACCUUCCCAUAACUAAGGGAUAACCUGCCGAAAGGCAGACUAAUACCUUAUGUAAUCCUUUGAUGGCAUCAGAUAAGGAUAAAAGAUUUAUCGGUUAUGGAUGGGGAUGCGUCUGAUUAGCUUGUUGGCGGGGUAACGGCCCACCAAGGCAACGAUCAGUAGGGGUUCUGAGAGGAAGGUCCCCCACAUUGGAACUGAGACACGGUCCAAACUCCUACGGGAGGCAGCAGUGAGGAAUAUUGGUCAAUGGACGGAAGUCUGAACCAGCCAAGUAGCGUGCAGGAUGACGGCCCUAUGGGUUGUAAACUGCUUUUGUAUGGGGAUAAAGUCAAUCACGUGUGAUUGUUUGCAGGUACCAUACGAAUAAGGACCGGCUAAUUCCGUGCCAGCAGCCGCGGUAAUACGGAAGGUUCGGGCGUUAUCCGGAUUUAUUGGGUUUAAAGGGAGCGUAGGCCGGAGAUUAAGUGUGUUGUGAAAUGUAGACGCUCAACGUCUGACUUGCAGCGCAUACUGGUUUCCUUGAGUACGCACAACGUUGGCGGAAUUCGUCGUGUAGCGGUGAAAUGCUUAGAUAUGACGAAGAACUCCGAUUGCGAAGGCAGCUGACGGGAGCGCAACUGACGCUGAAGCUCGAAGGUGCGGGUAUCGAACAGGAUUAGAUACCCUGGUAGUCCGCACAGUAAACGAUGGAUGCCCGCUGUUGGUACCU